rnacentral:rRNA from 1 species
UGGGGAAUAUUGGACAAUGGGCGCAAGCCUGAUCCAGCCAUGCCGCGUGAGUGAUGAAGGCCCUAGGGUUGUAAAGCUCUUUCACCGGUGAAGAUAAUGACGGUAACCGGAGAAGAAGCCCCGGCUAACUUCGUGCCAGCAGCCGCGGUAAUACGAAGGGGGCUAGCGUUGUUCGGAUUUACUGGGCGUAAAGCGCACGUAGGCGGACUUUUAAGUCAGGGGUGAAAUCCCGGGGCUCAACCCCGGAACUGCCUUUGAUACUGGAAGUCUUGAGUAUGGUAGAGGUGAGUGGAAUUCCGAGUGUAGAGGUGAAAUUCGUAGAUAUUCGGGGAAACACCAGUGGCGAAGGCGGCUCACUGGACCAUUACUGACGCUGGGGUGCGAAAGCGUGGGGCGCAAACAGG